UACGGAGGGUGCAAGCGUUGUUCGGAAUGAUUGGGCGUAAAGCGCACGUAGGCGGUCCUAAAAGUCCAUUGUGAAAGCCCAGGGCUUAACCUUGGAAUUGCAGUGGAAACUUUAGGUCUUGAAUACCCAAGGGGGUGGGGGAAUUCCAGGUGUAGAAGUGAAAUUCGUAGAUAUCUGGAGGAACACCCGAGGCGAAGGCGCCCACCUGGUGGUGUAUUGACGCUGAGGUGCGAAAGCGUGGGGAGCAAACAGG
rnacentral:misc_RNA from 1 species